AUUUCAUACCAACUCUAUCAGUCUGGUUUGGGGUUUUUGGCUUAUCAAUGAAUUUAGACAAAAAAAAAAGGCUCUACUUCCUCUAUUUUAACUAGGCCCAGGCCUGAACAUUUUACCCGAAUUCGAAGAUCUGAUCCAAAACCGUCUCGUAAAAAUUUGAUCCGGAUAGUAAUCAAACCGAUCAUUUUACUCUAUUAAAUCUUGUUAUAGAAAACCUGCAAGUCUUGCAUCUGACAUGGCUCAAAUCUGAGAUCGGAUAGAAUAUCCGAAAUAUCCAAAACUUUUGGUAUAUAUUAGGUGCAUAUAAGUGUUUCAAUAUAUUUUAGGUAUUAUGGAAUAUUUUUUAAGUUUUGAUUUUGGGUUUCAGGGUAUGUUUUUGGGUUUUUCAGAUAAAAUUUUAGAUUUGCAAAAAUAUAACUCGGAUAAUUGAAUAAAAUUUCGGGUAUUUUUCAUAUCUUCGGAUCAGAUUUUAAAUAAAAAUUCAGAUACUUUCGGAUAAUUAAAUAUUUUCAAGUAUUUUUUGUGUGUUUUAGAUAUUUUUUGGGUUAGAUCAGACAAGACCCGAACCGAAUCUAAUCUAAAUCCGAACCAAAUAAUUCUAAUUAUUCUAUUAGAUUUAAUUAUCUAAGAUCCGAAAAGGAUCCGGACCCGACAAGACUCGAAUGCCAGGCUUAAUUUUAACUUUCGAUUUUUAGUUUUUUUUGUUAAUAUUUAGUACAUAUCUAUUCUAUUAAAAUAGAAAUCACAACUUCUAUUCAUGUGUGAUUUUUUAAAAUUGGAUCUUCUAGAAAUUUUAUUAAACAUAUUUUGUUUAAUCUAUAAAUAUAUCAAAUUUUAACCCUUAGUAUAGAUUAAACAUUUGAUUUUCUUUACCUUACCAUCAAUCCAAACAUUAUAUUGUAACCAUCUAUAGAUGUCAACAAGAGAGAGAAAUCUAUAUAGAAUCUGAGAGUUAGUGGAAAUCAUUAUCAUCACCAUGCUUUCUAUGAGAAAAUCAACAGAAUAUGAUGCCCAAACCAAACCCUAAUCCAUAAAUUGAAGAGAGGAUCAAAGAUAAUCUUCAAAGGAUGCAAAAUCUUAGCAACAUGAAUCUCUCCCGACAUCCGAUCAUAAAAAACCAUCCAUAACUCUAAGUCGGCUCAAAAAUCAACUCUUCAGCUUCCUCCCUCACAGAAAUUUUCCAGGUAAAAUCUUUGCUUUCUCCUUUGGAAUAUGAGUAAUUAUGAGUUGAAAUUAAGGUUCACAAAUUCUUUAUAGAAAAGGGUUUCAGGGUUUAUGAUUUUUUUAUUCUUGGCAUUCAAACUGGAGAACACGGCUCAUGUUAUCUAAAACAAAGGCGUCAGUAUAAAACAUAGAAAAUGUAAGCGAGAGAGGUUGAUGAUUAGUGAAGGGUUAACGCUCGAGGUUAACAUGAAACAUGAGAAGCAGCUUGGGAACAUAGAACAAAGCCGGAUUUUCUUUGUUGAUGGUUGUGGCAAGGAUGGGAAAGAGAUUUAUGUUCCCUUUAAGGGUAAACUCUUCUCUUUACUCAUAGAUCUUAAUCCAAGAUUCAAACAAAAUUACGUGAACCAAACUCAUGGCCAUUUUUUUUUGUCUCGAGAUAAUAUAUUUCACAUCUUAUUAGUUGAAUUUUGGUUUGAUUCCUGGGUGAGUAUUCAUUUUAUGAUUGCUCAUGAACUAUUAUCAUUCAACGAGUUUGUCUGGAUUUCAGGUGUUAUUUUGUGAUUGUUUAACUUUUGAGUUUUGUGUAGAACAGAACAUUAGUGACAAAUUGCUAUGAUCAAACCUGAGGAGAAAAAAUGGGUUAGAUUCAUGUAAUGUAAGAAGAUAGGUCUUACAAUUUUAAUAGCUAUGAAUUGGAAGAUACUUUGAGGGUGGACAAGGGAGUCAUUGUCAAAAGAAAAUAAGGUCGAAUUAGUUUCAUCAUCAUCAGAGUCCGAAAGAGUUUUCUCCUACAAGUGAUUACAGUUGUGUCAUCUUUGCCUCUUCCAAGAACUGGUCUUGUUGGACAGAGUCACAGAGAGCAUCAAUUUUAGAUUUAAAUAUUAAAAAAAAAUCAGUUCAAGAAGUUUUGCAUAUUUAAGGAACAAAAAAUGAAGUUUUGCAUUUUAUUACUUUCAUGUCUUUAAUACAAACAAACCAUUAAACUGAUGGAGUCCACCAGUAGUUACUAUAAAAUAGUUUCAUCUUGAACUGAUUUUUUUUUAACAUAUUAGAAAAAUAUAUAAGUUUUUUUUAAUAUUCAGUAGUGAUAAUGUUCACAUAUUAGUGCAGAUGAAUAUUCUAAAAAUUUAUAAAUACAAAUAAAAUUACUAGAAUAAGUUAUUUAUUUCUAUCACUUUCAAUUUUAAUUAAAAAUUACAUGUAAAUAUUUUAUUUCAACAAUAUAUAAGAUAAAUAUAUAUAAUAUUUAAAUUCGUUGAACUUUUCAUAUAUUAGUUCCCUAAUCUAAUAAAAUAAAUAUAUAAUAAAAACCAUAGAAACAUGUCAUGCAAUUAUUUAAAACAAUUAACUGAAAAUGGACAAAUAUGUAAACUAUAAAAUUAUUGUAUCUAAGAGAGUCAUACAAACAUAAACUAAAUGAUUAGUAUUAAAAAUAUAUAUACCAUAAAUGAUGUAAAAACAAAUAUUAAUGUAUAUAAAAUGAAAAUAAAUACCCGCACAUCAAAUCUAAGUAUAUAUAUUACAAAGUUUAUUAAACCAAUGGUAAGAUCUUUGUAGCCCCACAUUCUUUUCCUUCGAAUUGAUAUAUAGCCUUUGUGAAUCGUGUGUGUUGUUAAGGAGUUUAUGGAAGUUUGGAUUGUUAUUAGUGAUCUGGCUGUUACAGAUUCAGAAUGCCACUCGUUCUUCGAUGACUAGUCAACGCUAUGGUGGUUCAUGUCCCUUUUGCCCCUUUGGACUGGUUGAUUGGGGUCGGCAGUUGAGGUUCUCUUCAUGGGCUUGUCUACAUCAUGUCUCAAUCUGUCUUCUAAUCAUGGUUUUAUUGUGGGUUUUUUUGUUGUUUCUUUUAUUAUCUUUGUGAAGUUGUUCAUGUUCACUUAUUUGAGCCUUCGAACGGUUUCUCUGAGUGAUGCUUGUCUUCGUUCAGAUGUUAUAUCCGGUUGUGCUCUUAUCAAUUCAUCGUCUAAGGCUUCCCUUCUGAUUUUUUUGUUGGUCGGGUUGGUGUCAUUCUGGUUCCGAUCCGCCUUCUUCUCAGGUUUGUU